GGAUUGUGGCUCAGUGGUAGAGCACUCACCUAGUAUGUGCAAGGCCCUGGGUUCGAUUCUCAGCACCA
rnacentral:tRNA from 1 species